rnacentral:lncRNA from 1 species
UUUUAUUUAUACACUUUUUUUGUUAUAUACAUGUACUCAACUAUUUAAUUUGGUUAUGGUUAAAAAGCACAAUUCCUAAUUCCCUUCUCUUCUAAUAUUAUCCACAUGUUCCCUUUUACAUUAAAAUUCAACUCAUUUUAUUGAUCGAUAUGAAAUUUUAAAAAAAAUCCAACCCUUCUCUCUUAUCUUUUUCCAUGUCACGCGUUGCGUUCAUACGAGGGAGACCAUAAACUAUUUGAGUGAAAUAUGGGCGUAAAUUUUGGUACGCACACUUCAACAUCAUUCAGACAAGAUAUGCGCGUUGUCGUCAUCUUGUGAUUAGUGGUAAUCAGAACCAGGACAAUUAAAAGCUGAAAACGAAUGAGACCCGAUAGUUCAAAGUUUGUCUCAUUAAAAAUGUUUUCAAAUACGUGGAGAUCUUUUAUAAUCUUGAAACAAAAGUGUCUGUCGUAGACAAAAUGAAUGAGCCAUAGAACAGUCAUAUCACAUGACGUCGUUGCGGCAGUGGUGACCAGUGUGGUCGGUGUGUACAUAUUUAUAAGUUGUUGCUAUCAAUUGGUUAAAAGAUAUCAUAAUGCAUUUUCGAAAAAGUUAAAAUUCGACUUGAUGAUGCUUUUCUGCUUUCCAAGUUUGUGGUUAGGUAUGACAGGUGGGAGUGACUCCGAUUGUGAUAGUCAUCAAAAGACACGUAGAUCUUAUAGAAUUAUUUUAGGUGCGUUUAGAAUUAAAAUUCGACUGUA